rnacentral:rRNA from 1 species
UACGUAGGGCGCAAGCGUUAUCCGGAAUUAUUGGGCGUAAAGAGCUCGUAGGCGGUUUGUCGCGUCUGCCGUGAAAGUCCGGGGCUCAACUCCGGAUCUGCGGUGGGUACGGGCAGACUAGAGUGAUGUAGGGGAGACUGGAAUUCCUGGUGUAGCGGUGAAAUGCGCAGAUAUCAGGAGGAACACCGGUGGCGAAGGCGGAUCUCUGGGCCGUAACUGACACUGAGGGACGAAAGCUAGGGGAGCGAAUGGG